CUAAGAAUAUUCCGCAAUGGACGGAAGUCUGACGGAGCGACGCCGCGUGGAUGACGAAGGCCGAAAGGUUGUAAAGUUCUUUUGCUGGGGAAGAAUAACCGCAGGAGGGAAUGCCUGUGGGAUGACAAGAACCGGCGAAUAAGCCCCGGCCAACUACGUGCCAGCAGCCGCGGUAACACGUAGGGGGCGAGCGUUGUUCGGAAUUACUGGGCGUAAAGGGCAUGUAGGCGGCUUGGAAAGCCUGGCGUGAAAGUCUGCAGCUUAACUGCAGGGGUGCGCGGGGAACUGCUGAGCUUGAGUGACGGAGAGGGAGCUGGAAUUCCUGGUGUGGGGGUGAAAUCUGUAGAUAUCAGGAAGAACACCGAUGGCGAAGGCAAGCUCCUGGCCGAUGACUGACGCUGAGGUGCGAAAGUGUGGGGAUCAAACA
rnacentral:rRNA from 1 species